ensembl:lncRNA
CUGUUUUUAUUCUAUAUUUUUGCUAUUUAAUGCCUUUUAAAACUCCACUUUUUUAAUCUUUCAGUGCCUGUAUUGACCUCUUCAGUAAAGGUGAAUCUUCAUGACGAUGCUACUCUCCCCUGCACUCAGACGUGUUCUGGUCUGGUCACAUGGACUGUGUUCCAUAAACGACGUGACAUUCUGGCUCAGUGUGACCAGACAUCCUGCCAAUCAAAGGAGGGAUUUCACAUGUCCCAUGAUCAGUACCUGAAGGGAGAUUUCUCCCUCACCAUCACUGAUGCUGAUUACACUAAGAGGACCUGGUACACCUGUGAGUGUGAUGGUGUAGACAUCUGUGAUGUGAGACUACAGAUAGAGGGUAAGGGUUUGUUCUCUCAGUCUUUGUUAAUGAACCCCUAAUGAUUUAGGUUUAAUAGUGUGUAUCAGAUUUGAACCCGUUUGAAAUUCCUGAUGGUUUUUGUUUUCAGCAUUGAGUUCUUCAGUUUGGAUCAAGUCCAAUGAAAAUCUGGUGCUGGAUUUGCCCAUAUCAGAGUCAGUGCAGAAGUCCAGCCGUGUCCAGAUCAGAGCUCCACAGUGAUGGUGUUGGCGGUGCUCCUGGCUCUGAUGGGGGCGGUGCUUGCGGCAGCAUGGCUGUUGAUUGUGCAGCAGAAGAAAAAAAUUCAGGAGCUCCAGAAUGGAAGUACAGUGAAUGGAGACCGUAACCAUGACAACAGAGCAGUUAAUAUGAAUGGACUAAACCACUCAGAUGAAGAGCAGAGGUGAUCUCCCAAUAAUAGCCAUGAGGAAGUCUGAGAGAUGAUAAAUGAUUUGACUCUCUUAUAUACACACACACACACUAAUGUGCCCACAGUGCCUUUCUGUGUACCAUUCAGGGGUCAGAGAUCAGUGUAUAUUCGAUCAUACCUGAUCAGAGUUUUAUCACAUUAGCACUCCUGAACUCACCUAGUAGAGCAGGUAGAGUAACAUACAUUUGCAGAAUCAUGGUCUGAUCUUCAGAGAGCACACAUUAUGUCAUACUGAUGAAUGUGUAUCAGUCACUAUAAGACCAUCUGCCCAGUACUGUAAAUGUAAUGGAAAGAUGUUUAUGUAAAAAUGUAAUAUAAAGAUGUUUAUGUAAAUAUUACUAUGAGAUCCUGUGAUGUAAUUUAAUGUACAUGUAAAUACUUUACACAAAAGUCAAGGAAAAACAGGCAGUUUUGCUUGUAGCAUCUUUACAUUUUCAUUGCCAAUUAUCAACAUUUUUUUUUAAAGUUUCAAGGGCCAGUAUCAAAAUAAAAUGGUUCCAAUGGGAGGAUGGAGGGAUUAAUGAAAGGAGAGGAAAAAAGGAGAAGGAGAACACAGACGAGUGCUGUUGGUAUAAUAUGCAGUUUGGAGCUUGAGGUCCGUUGAUGGGUCUCUUUGCCAAGCCUGGUGGCUGUAGCCUUCAAGUUCAGGGAGAUAAAAUGUCAUCAGUACAAAAUGCAAUUUUCUGCCAGGAGUUGCUUAAUGUUUAUCUUUAAAAAUUACAAAUUUUAUUUUUUGUUCUUCUGUCAGCACUACUCUGAGCCAAAGAUGUUUUAAACUUUGCUCAUGAAUAUUAUGCUCUGUGCCUCUAAAGCCAACCUCUUUCCUUGCAGUGCCUUAUGGGUAAAAACCGGCCAUGUGUUUUAUUUAUUUAUUUUUUAAUCUCAGACAUAUAAUGUAAUGCUGUUUAUUUUUAAAUACAAGAAGAAAUCAUAUUUUAUGGCACUUCUUUUGUUUAAAUGUAUUACUGUAUUUUGAUACCUGAUGCAUUGUUACCAAAAUAUAAUCUUUUAAAUACAUCUAUGGUCUGUUUAUCUCUAAUUUUCCCCUUUGAAACUGCUGAUUACAGUCUGAUUUGAUAUUUUUGAUAUUUUGAAUAAGUAAAUGUUAACAUAGCAUUACUGCUAAUAAGUUUGAACACAAACUUAUUGCAACAACAGACUCAAAAUGAAUACUUUGAUUAAUGAUGAUUGAGGCAUUUGAAGUGUUUGAUCAUUUGGGGGUGUCUAUGGAAAUGAUACCUGUAAAAUAGAUGUUAUUUCUUAACAAAUAUUAGCAAGUAAAAACAACACACUAAAAGAAAAAAACAUUUUGAUCAGUGGAUUUAUGUUAAAGGACCAACUAGAUAAAAGUGUAAUUUUGCUCCAAGUAUGGAUUUAAAACUCAAUGAUACUAUUUCAGAUGCAAAGAACUUAAUCACAUUCAUACUAGAAUAAUUGGAUACAUUUUUUCUAAGAUGACUUGGAAGACGAGGAUCAGGAGUUGCGUCUGUCCGACUGGGAGGCUGAUUUAAGGGGAUCAAUGAACUGGAGAGACUUGGUGUUGUGUAUUUUUUCAUUUAUGUAUUUCUUUUCAUAUCUUAUUUUCUUAGGUAAGUAAUAUAUGUAUGAAACUCUGGUAAAGAGUGUCUGCCAAACAUUAUAAAUGUAAUCUGUUUAAGUGUGAAUGUAAUGUUUAGCAUUGCUUCAUAAAGUUGGUAUUGCAAAUAAUUCUUGAAUCACUCUCAAUUAGUUACAUAGCUGCUUGAUGUGGAGUGUAAAGGAACCUUUGUCUUGAGAGGUCCUAAGCCAGCUGAUUCUUGCUGUAGUCAAUGACUAAUUUAUAUGUCUUCUACUGUGUCAGACUGUAACACCGCCUCACCAGACCCGCACUCCUUCAGAUACUGGUACAGUGCUCAUGCAGCCUACUUCCAGGUACUCUGAAAAGUCCGUCCCUCAUGAUACUAGCAUAGAAUAUCAGUAAACUGUGUGCGCAAUGGUUGGGGGCCAAUCUUCUCUGUGGCCAGUCCAGGGCCCCGGGGCCCCUCCGGAGCCGCUUCGGCCUCCCCUUGGCCUUUCUGGAGGCGCACGAGCCCAUCCGCGCCAUCCCCGGCCUUCCCGGACGCACGGUUCACCCAGAACCCAGAAUCUGCCCAAAUUCCUGGCCUGGUGACCUCUGUGACCUCUCUGGCAAGGAGGCGGGACUAUGGCAAUAGAGGGUCAGCUGUUGUUUCGCAUAUUAAGUAGCCAUGUGCAGCUGAGCAUGCAUGUCAAGUAGCUUUGUUUCAUGCUGUUAGACUGGCUUUUCAAUAUCUUCUAUCUGUGUGUAAUUAUAUUCACUUAAGAUUAAAAAUUUGAAGAUUAAGAUUAAAAAUCCAGACAUUUCACAGAAUGUCAGUUUCAUUGGCUUCCGCAUUUCUAAUGGUUUUCCGCAUUUUAAAAAAAAUAUCUCCCACUAAUAUAUAUAGUUAAAAUUGCAUGUUCAUUUAAAAAUAAGAUUAAAGCUGAC